AAGCUGAGGGAGCCGGCUGCGGCCUUCGCCAGCCCAGAAAGGGGCUCCUACAGUGCAGUGGCGGGCUGAAGGGCUGCUCAAGCGCCGCCAAAGUGGGAGCCCAGGCAGAGGAGGCGCCCAGAGCGAGCGAGGGCUGUGAGGACUGCCAGCACGCUGUCACCUCUCACUCAUAUAGAUUGCCAAUCUAUUUGUGAACCAGGUUUGCUGGAGUUUGGAUUUACUACUGAGUCAUAUUUGGAGCAUGCUGGAAUCUUACAACUGAGAUUACCGAGUCAGAAACUGCACUUCCUGAUUGCAAAGACAAAUAUGCCUCUUUGGGUCCAUCAUGAGGAGGCAUCAAGGACUUCUUGCCCUGUCCUUGCUCUUUAGCCAAAACCCUGGCUAUCUUGAGUUUGACUGUUCUCGUCGGCAUGGUUGAGACAUUAUCCCUGGCAGAAGGCUGGACUGGCAUGGACAUCAUUUGAUGAGUUCGUCUCCUCUUAACAAUCAAAGCCUGUUUUCCAGUGCGAAUAAACUGUUGCCUUAUAUAUUGUUUUCCCAUUUUUAUAGUUGUUUACUGCAAAAAAGAGUCUGGUACAAGUUACUUUGCUAAAACCUUGAUAAAGUUUUAUUCUACGAUUCUUCAAUCAAUGUUUCUGUUUUGUUUAUUCUGUUAUCUCUGUUGUGUCAUACCAUAAUUCUCUCAUUAAUAGCUCAUAUUCUUUUUCAUAGCUAUUCAAUUCUUUAGCAGUUUCUACUUUUAUGUUUGGGAGAAAAUUGAAAGCUUGAUUUCUUAUUUUGACAAGUUUUCUAAAGGUUUCAGCAUGCAAUAUUUUUUUUCAUAGCCUUACAGUUUGUAAUAGUUCAUCUGAUUGUAAAGCUCUUACAAUCUUUCCUGAUUUUAAGUCAUUUUAACAACGACUUUCUCUCUUUUUUAUUUUUAAGAAACAAUGUCCUCCUUUUCAUUUGUUGAGAACUCUACUCAGCUUUUAAAAAACUUCCUGUGUAUGUACCUUAAUUCUUUUGACAAUAAAACAUUACUCUGAAUAUUCAAA
rnacentral:lncRNA from 1 species